rnacentral:rRNA from 1 species
GUGGGGAAUAUUGGACAAUGGGGGAAACCCUGAUCCAGCAAUGCCGCGUGAGUGAUGAAGGUCUUAGGAUUGUAAAAUUCUUUCACCGGGGACGAUAAUGACGGUACCCGGAGAAGAAGCCCCGGCUAACUUCGUGACAGCAGCCGCGGUAAUACGAAGGGGGCUAGCGUUGCUCGGAAUUACUGGGCGUAAAGGGCGCGUAGGCGGACAGGUUAGUCAGAGGUGAAAGCCCAGGGCUCAACCUUGGAAUUGCCUUUGAUACUGGCUGUCUUGAGUACGGGAGAGGUGAGUGGAACUCCGAGUGUAGAGGUGAAAUUCGUAGAUAUUCGGAAGAACACCAGUGGCGAAGGCGACUCACUGGCCCGUUACUGACGCUGAGGCGCGAAAGCGUGGGGAGCAAACAGGAUUAGAUACCCUAGUAGUCC